GAGACCUCACGUNANGCGGGGCUACCCGCUGAGUUUAAGCAUAUC
rnacentral:rRNA from 1 species